rnacentral:rRNA from 1 species
GACGAACGCUGGCGGCGUGCCUAACACAUGCAAGUCGAACGCACUCUCGUAAAUGAUUUUGGUACUUUGUAUUGAAUGAUUUUACAUUGGAGUGAGUGGCGAAUGGGUGAGUAACACGUGAGGAACCUGCCCUUAAGUCUGGGAUAGCAUUGGGAAACUAAUGAUAAUACCGGAUAACAACUGAAACCACAUGGUUUCAGUUUGAAAGGUGCUUUGGCAUCGCUUUUGGUUGGACUCGCGGCGCAUUAGUUAGUUGGUAAGAUCAAGGCCUACCAAGACGAUGAUGCGUAGCCGAACUGAGAGGUUAAUCGGCCACAUUGGAACUGAGACACGGUCCAGACUCCUACGAGAGGCAGCAGUAGGGAAUCUUUCACAAUGGACGCAAGUCUGAUGAAGCAACGCCGCGUGAGUGAAGAAGGGUUUCGGCUCGUAAAACUCUGUUGCUAGAGAAGAACGAAUGUAGUAGGAAAUGGCUACAUUGUGACGGUAUCUGGUUAGAAAGUCACGGCUAACUACGUGCCAGCAGCCGCGGUAAUAC